GACGAACGCUGGCGGCGUGCUUAACACAUGCAAGUCGAACGGAAAGGCCCUGCUUUUGUGGGGUGCUCGAGUGGCGAACGGGUGAGUAACACGUGAGUAACCUGCCCUUGACUUUGGGAUAACUUCAGGAAACUGGGGCUAAUACCGGAUAGGAGCUCCUGCUGCAUGGUGGGGGUUGGAAAGUUUCGGCGGUUGGGGAUGGACUCGCGGCUUAUCAGCUUGUUGGUGGGGUAGUGGCUUACCAAGGCUUUGACGGGUAGCCGGCCUGGGAGGGUGACCGGCCACAUUGGGACUGGGGUACGGCCCAGGAUCCUACGGGAGGCAGCAGUGGGGAAUAUUGCACAAUGGGCGGAAGCCUGAUGCAGCCACGCCGCGUGCGGGAUGAAGGCCUUCGGGUUGUAAACCGCUUUCGCCUGUGACGAAGCGUGAGUGACGGUAAUGGGUAAAGAAGCCCCGGCUAACUACGUG
rnacentral:rRNA from 1 species